rnacentral:rRNA from 1 species
UACGAUGGGGGCAAAUGUUGUUCGGAAUCACUGGGCGUAAAGGGAGCGUAGGCGGGCUUCUAAGUUAGGUGUUUAAUCCCGGGGCCCAACCCCGGUCGUGCACUUAAAACUGGAAGUCUUGAAUAGUGGAGAGGUCAGUGGAAUUGGGGGUGUAGCGGUGGAAUGCGUAGAGAUCCCCAAGAACACCAGUUGCGAAGGCGGCUGACUGGACACAUAUUGACGCUGAGGCUCGAAAGCAUGGGGAGCAAACAGG